ACAGAAAGGCAAAGAAACAGACAAAUUUGAAAUUCAUGGCAACGAGCGGGGCAGCUACCGGCGACAUUUUCCGGCAAGAAAAAACAGCGGAAAGGCCGACAGCCACAAGAGAACAUAAAUGUCUCCGAAGCUAGUCGGAUUAACAUCUCGCAAAUUCUCGAACAGUUUCGCGCUUCCAACGAGCUAGUGUACACAUUUGAUGUCAACCUGACAAACCGUGAGCGUGCUGCAGUGCAUACAUUAUGUAGGAAAAUGGGUGUGAAGUCCAAAAGUUCUGGGCGUGGGGAUCAGAGGCGAGUUUCUGUUUAUAAGACUAAGAAGAAAGUGGAUAGCACAAACGAAAACCUUACCUCUUUCACAUUUUCAGAAGAGGCUAAAGAUAUAUUACAGGAUAUGUUUGUGCGCUAUCCUCCAGAUGAUGAUGAGAUGAGCCAAUAUAUUUCUGGAAUGCAUAAUGAGAAAGCUGAUAAGGUACGAGGGAAAAAGAUGACAUUUUUAGUAAACCUUUGCUAAGCAAGUCAGAGAUUGCCAAAAGGGUUGAAGCACUUAAUUCCCGGGCAGAAAAGAACCAAAACCUAAGACAGAUAACUGAAGGAAGGGCCAAGCUUCCAAUUGCAUCAUUUGCAGAUAUCAUUAAAUCCACUGUAGAAUCUCAUCAGGUGGUUCUUAUCUCUGGUGAAACUGGAUGUGGAAAAACUACUCAGGU